rnacentral:rRNA from 1 species
GAUGAACGCUGGCGGCGUGCUUAACACAUGCAAGUCGAACGGAAAGGCCCAAGCUUGCUUGGGUACUCGAGUGGCGAACGGGUGAGUAACACGUGGGUGAUCUGCCCUGCACUUCGGGAUAAGCCUGGGAAACUGGGUCUAAUACCGGAUAGGACGAUGGUUUGGAUGCCAUUGUGGAAAGUUUUUUCGGUGUGGGAUGAGCUCGCGGCCUAUCGGCUUGUUGGUGGGGUAAUGGCCUACCAAGGCGUCGACGGGUAGCCGGCCUGAGAGGGUGUACGGCCACAUUGGGACUGAGAUACGGCCCAGACUCCUACGGGAGGCAGCAGUGGGGAAUAUUGCACAAUGGGCGCAAGCCUGAUGCAGCGACGCCGCGUGGGGGAUGACGGCCUUCGGGUUGUAAACUCCUUUCGCUAGGGACGAAGCAUUUUGUGACGGUACCUGGAGAAGAAGCACCGGCUAACUACGUG